GAUGAACGCUGGCGGCGUGCUUAACACAUGCAAGUCGAACGGAAAGGCCCAAGCUUGCUUGGGUACUCGAGUGGCGAACGGGUGAGUAACACGUGGGUGAUCUGCCCUGCACUUCGGGAUAAGCCUGGGAAACUGGGUCUAAUACCGGAUAGGACGAUGUGUUGGAUGCCAUUGUGGAAAGUUUUUUCGGUGUGGGAUGAGCUCGCGGCCUAUCAGCUUGUUGGUGGGGUAAUGGCCUACCAAGGCGUCGACGGGUAGCCGGCCCGUGAGGGUGUACGGCCACAUUGGGACUGCGAUACGGCGCCGACUCCUCCGGGAGGCAGCAGUGGGGAAUAUUGCACAAUGGGCGCAAGCCUGAUGCAGAGACGCCGCGUGGGGGAUGACGGCCUUCGGGUUGUAAACUCCUUUCGCUAGGGACGAAGCGUUUUUGUGACGGUACCUGGAGAAGAAGCACCGGCUAACUACGUG
rnacentral:rRNA from 1 species